rnacentral:lncRNA from 1 species
UCAGCUCGCUGGAAGGAGAAGACAAAGGUCGAUUAGUGGCCGUGCAGGGGAGAGGAGCUAUGACUGGAGCCUGAUGCUGAGGGCUGCCUUGGAGAGUCUCUAGCCCCUGGGAUGCAUUCAAACUGUUGAGAGUAAAUGAUGCUGUUACUGGGAUUGCAGGGACUCAACAGAAUCGAGGGGCAAUCAAAUGGUGGAAGAGAAAGCUACCAGCACCUUUACAGAGAAGACGAUGCGCGAGAUGAAACUGGAUCCUGAGAUCCAAAAGAGGCCUGCCCGGGGAACUUCUGCCAAAACGAGGUGUUACUCAGGCCCAACCACCUUCACGGAGCUGGCAAAGGCGGCCUGCUUCCUGGACCAUCAGAACCCCGGGAGAGCUGCUUGGAUCAUCUCGUGCAGAGAAAUGACAAGGCUUUUCUAUUUAAAUAUGGGUUUGUUGUGGCAGACCCGCACAGCUGUUGUCGAAAUCAAAGAUCAGUUUGUUAGAUUAUUUUUACGGACUGUGUCAGGGUAACCGCUUCCGGAAAACAUCUGUUCUAUAAUUAGAAAAUGAAGAUCUUGUCACUCAGCUGGAACGUAAUUACUUCCAAGGCAUCAGAGGGAGGAUUUUAGUAUUAUCACGAGAAUUCAAUAGGGUUACUCAGAACGUGUAUAUUUUUUCCCUUUAAUUCUUCUAAGGUAACUAGGGGAAGCCCAUACUUAUUUGCAUUUACAGGAUGUAAAUAAGAAUGAAUCAAUUCUGCAUGGGCU